UGAGCAACCUGCCCUUAGCUCUGGGAUAACCCCGGGAAACCGGGGCUAAUACCGGAUAUGAGUCCGAGCGGCAUCACGCGGACUGGAAAGUUUUUCGGCUAAGGAUGGGCUCGGCGGCCUAUCAGCUUGUUGGUGGGUAAUGGCCUACAAGGCGACGACGGGUAGCCGGCCUGAGAGGGCGACCGGCCACACUGGGACUGAGACACGGCCCAGACCUCCGUACGGGAGGCA
rnacentral:rRNA from 1 species